AGAGUUUGAUCCUGGCUCAGGAUGAACGCUGGCGGCGUGCUUAACACAUGCAAGUCGAACGGUGAUGACCAGCUUGCUGGUCGGAUCAGUGGCGAACGGGUGAGUAACACGUGAGUAACCUGCCCCAGACUCUGGGAUAAGCCUUGGAAACGAGGUCUAAUACUGGAUAUGAGAUGCCCCUGCAUGGGGAGUGUCUGGAAAGAUUUAUCGGUCUGGGAUGGACUCGCGGCCUAUCAGCUUGUUGGUGGGGUAAUGGCCUACCAAGGCGACGACGGGUAGCCGGCCUGAGAGGGCGACCGGCCACACUGGGACUGAGACACGGCCCAGACUCCUACGGGAGGCAGCAGUGGGGAAUAUUGCACAAUGGGCGCAAGCCUGAUGCACCGACGCCGCGUGAGGGAUGAAGGCCUUCGGGUUGUAAACCUCUUUCAGCAGGGAAGAAGCGCAAGUGACGGUACCUGCAGAAGAAGCGCCGGCUAACUACGUGCCAGCAGCCGCGGUAAUACGUAGGGCGCAAGCGUUGUCCGGAAUUAUUGGGCGUAAAGAGCUCGUAGGCGGUUUGUCGCGUCUGGUGUGAAAACUCAAGGCUCAACCUGAGCUUGCAUCGGGUACGGGCAGACUAGAGUGCGGUAGGGGUGACUGGAAUUCCUGGUGUAGCGGUGGAAUGCGCAGAUAUCAGGAGGAACACCGAUGGCGAAGGCAGGUCACUGGGCCGCAACUGACGCUGAGGAGCGAAAGCAUGGGGAGCGAACAGGAUUAGAUACCCUGGUAGUCCAUGCCGUAAACGUUGGGCACUAGGUGUGGGGCUCAUUCCACGAGUUCCGUGCCGCAGCAAACGCAUUAAGUGCCCCGCCUGGGGAGUACGGCCGCAAGGCUAAAACUCAAAGGAAUUGACGG
rnacentral:rRNA from 1 species